AGGAGGCGGGACUUCUGCGUCGCCAUCUUGUUAAGGGGCGCGUCCAUCCUGCAGCGGCCAUGUUUGUGAGGGGCGGCCUCCGGGUAUAAGAUGUGCAGGGAAGCAGUUUCAGGUCUACCCGUGAGUGGAGACCUCUUUACGUACUUGAGAGCUUUUAUCUUAACUUCCUUCUUUCUUUUCAAACAUCUUCCUUCUUGCAUCCCUCAGGGCAUCCCUGCACCGUUUUUUAGGCUAUCCUCGUUCAAAUGUUCUUGCUCCUGCAAGGCUCAGCCUGCAAGCCCUGGCCCUUCAGUCCCAACUUGAACUGCUCUGCCCUUUGGGAUCUAAUAUGGUCUUGCACCGUUAAUCCUUUCUGUCCUGUGUUCUUUCGCAUUAGCUUGUUUUCUGGUGAAAUGAGAACAGCCUGCAGACAUCACGGAAGGCAUGAAGAAGGCUCGCAGCACACCAUAUUAGCCUGAGAUUCCUAGGUCUUACCUGGGCUUCUGGCUUUCUUUUAGAGGCUUGUUCAUGCUUAGGAUUUUAGAGUGUUUAGACCUUGGACUUGGAGAUGUUUUGACUAUAACCCUACCACAGGACAUAGACAUAGAGCUGCCACCAAAGUUUUACAAGUCAGUACCUUUUCUUUUUCAUUUUUUUAAUUAGAUAUUUUUAAAAUUUACAUUUCAAAUGCUAUCCUGCAAGUUCCCUAUACCCUCCCCCCGCCCUGCUCCCCUACCCACCCACUCCUACUUCUUGGCCCUGGCAUUCCCCUGUACUGGGGCAUAUAAAGUUUGCAAGACCAAGGGGCCUCUCUUCCCAAUGAUGGCCGACUAGGCCAUCUUCUGCUACAUAUGCAGCUAGAGACACAAGCUCCGGGGGGUACUGGUUAGUACAUAUUGUUGUUCCACCUAUAGUGUUGCAGACCCCUUCAGCAUCUUGGGUACUUUCUCUAGCUACAAGUCAGUACCUUUAGCAUCUGUGAAGUGCUAUGGUUUUUUUGUUUUUGUUUUUUUUAUUAAAAGAAAAAAGUUAGCUGAGCAUGGUGGACAUAUGAGUAGUCUCAAUUAUUUAGGAUAGUGAGGUGGUGCAUCAUUUAGAGUCCACAGUUUUGAAAUCAGCCUGGACAACAGUGAAACCUUAAUAAUAAUAAUAAUAAUAAUAAUAAUUAAUUUUUAAAAAAUUGUGGUAUGGC
rnacentral:lncRNA from 1 species